GACGAACGCUGGCGGCGUGCUUAACACAUGCAGGUCGAACGGAAAGGCCCUGCUUUUGUGGGGUGCUCGAGUGGCGAACGGGUGAGUAACACGUGAGUAACCUGCCCUUGACUUUGGGAUAACUUCAGGAAACUGGGGCUAAUACCGGAUAGGAGCUCCUGCUGCAUGGUGGGGGUUGGAAAGUUUCGGCGGUUGGGGAUGGACUCGCGGCUUAUCAGCUUGUUGGUGGGGUAGUGGCUUACCAAGGCAUUGACGGGUAGCCGGCCUGAGAGGGUGACCGGCCACAUUGGGACUGAGGUACGGCGCAGACGCCUACGGGAGGCAGCAGUGGGGAAUAUUGCACAAUGGGCGGAAGCCUGAUGCAGCAACGCCGCGUGCGGGAUGACGGCCUUCGGGUUGUAAACCGCUUUCGCCUGUGACGAAGCGUGAGUGACGGUAAUGGGUAAAGAAGCACCGGCUAACUACGUG
rnacentral:rRNA from 1 species